rnacentral:rRNA from 1 species
AACGAACGCUGGCGGCAUGCCUAACACAUGCAAGUCGAACGAGACCUUCGGGUCUAGUUGCGCACGGGUGCGUAACGCGUGGGAACCUGCCCUUAGGUUCGGAAUAACUCCCCGAAAGGGGUGCUAAUACCGGAUAAUGUCUUCGGACCAAAGAUUUAUCGCCUUUGGAUGGGCCCGCGUUGGAUUAGCUAGAUGGUAUGGUAAAAGCCUACCAAGGCGACGAUCCAUAGCUGGGCUGAGAGGAUGAUCAGCCACACUGGGACUGAGACACGGCCCAGACUCCUACGGGAGGCAGCAGUGGGGAAUAUUGGACAAUGGGCGAAAGCCUGAUCCAGCAAUGCCGCGUGAGUGAUGAAGGCCUUAGGGUUGUAAAGCUCUUUUACCCGGGAUGAUAAUGACAGUACCGGGAGAAUAAGCUCCGGCUAACUCCGUG